rnacentral:rRNA from 1 species
UACGGAGGGUGCGAGCGUUGUCCGGAAUCACUGGGCGUAAAGGGCGCGUAGGCGGCCUGAUAAGUCGGGGGUGAAAUCCUGCGGCUUAACCGCAGGGCUGCCUUCUAAACUGUCAGGCUUGAGCACAGUAGAGGCAGGUGGAAUUCCCGGUGUAGCGGUGAAAUGCGCAGAUAUCGGGAGGAACACCGGUGGCGAAGGCGGUUCUCUGGGCCUUACCUGACGCUGAGGAGCGAAAGCGUGGGGAGCGAACAGG